CUUUCCUAUCAGCAGGAGUGAGCGGGCUUUGCUUGCUUUGGGCAACAAAUCACUUUAGGCCUUUGGCCCCAAACCAUCUCUAGAAUGUGGUCACCUGCCAUCUCAGCAUCUGGCCACCAUAAUGUGGUCAAGAAAACUUGUUGACUUCUAUUACCCCCAUCUAUUACAGCUAAGCUGUGUGAUGGCAGAGAUUUUUCUUGUUUUGAUCACUGUUUUAUCUGCAAGAUCUACAACUGGCCCAGGGAACUAUGCAAGUAAGACUUAUUGA
rnacentral:lncRNA from 1 species